CCCGCCUUAACUCAGCCUGGUAGAGUGCGCGGCUGUAGUAUGGUUUGCCGAUUCAGGCAACUGCGCGGCUACCGCGAUGUCCCCGGUUCGAAUCUGGGAGGCGGGA
rnacentral:tRNA from 1 species